ensembl:lncRNA
CCCCACCCCCCCAACCUUGCUAACUCUCUUUCCAUAUACCUCUUUUUUUAAAAUAAUUUUUAUUUAUUUAUUUAUUUAUUUUUUAUAAACCUAUGUCAUUCUUGAAAUCUACCGCUGUAAGCCUGAAUUAACGUUCACCUCACAAUCCCUCGUUCAUAUUCUCACAACCGAAUUCAUACUUCUUUACUAGUGUGAUGGCCUGUGCCCCUGGACACACUCGCGUCACGCGAGUGUAAACUCUGUGAACACCUGCUCAACACGUGCACAGGAUUGUAUACCGAUAAAAACGCCGGUGGUAAAUUCACCCGUUUCAAACUAAUUCAAAUCCACUCCCCAUUUCAGGCACUCUGAUGUACGUUUUAAGCAAUAACAGUGUACAACUUUCUCAUUAUUAUUAUUAUUAUUGUUUAAAACAUGAAGCAGGCGUGCGCAAUACAAUGUUAAAAUGUCUGCGUGGUUUUACACGGCUGUAAUAUUCCGUGACGCUAACGACUGUUAUUAAUCGUUAUGCCACGGAAUGGUUGAAUUCUUCUCAUAUUUGGUUGGACAGAAGGUACGCAUGAUUUAUUUUUUUUUUAUUACCACAAGUACAGGUUCGUAUUAAUGCGCUCGUUCUAAUACGUUAGUGUUUCUAUAGCGACAGCUCGUGCACGGGGAUCGUAUAGUGGACACGCCACAUAAUCAAAGAUGAAUAAUAAAUGAAUUUGAUAAAAUGUGUGAUAGUUUAACAACGAAAUUCAUCUAAUGAGUCAGCACAUGGGCAACAAUAAUCCGAUAUGAACCCGAUUAAGACGAUACUCUGAUUAAGAAACUAGCAUGUAAACGGUGAUUAUUGAUGACCUUAAUCCGACUAAAGUCACACUCGAAGUAAACACAAAUGGAAUUAAGACGUGUGGAGUAUUCCUGUUUUAGUCGUGUUAUCGAAGUGCGUUACAGACACGUACACACCUUAAUCACACUGUUAACAUCGUGUAGAGUUUUCACCACAUUGUGCGACAGGACACGAUCACACAUGGCAGCGCUCAACCGUUUGACGGCAAGAGAGCACGGCUGCGUCCCAAACCGCGUACUUACCUACUAUAUAGUAGGUAAGUACACGUGUCUCGGCUACUAUAUAGCAGGUAAGUACACGUAUCUCGGCUACUAUAUAGUAGGUAAGUACACGUAUCUCGGCUACUAUAUAGUAGGUAAGUACACGUAUCUCGGCUACUAUAUAGUAGGUAAGUACACGUAUCUCGGCUACUAUAUAGUAGGUAAGUACACGUAUCUCGGCUACUAUAUAGUAGGUAAGUACACGUGUCUCGGCUACUAUAUAGCAGGUAAGUACACGUAUCUCGGCUACUAUAUAGUAGGUAAGUACACGUAUCUCGGCUACUAUAUAGUAGGUAAGUACACGUAUCUCGG